rnacentral:rRNA from 1 species
UUUUAUUAUAAAUUAAGAUUUUUUAAAUUUUUAGAUAAUUUAUUAAUAUGUUAUGAAAAAUUAAGAUUUAUAAGUAAUUAUGAUUAAAUUAGUAUAAAUUAUUGUAAGGUUUAUUAUAAUUUUUAGGUUAAAUUAAGGAAUUCGGCAAAUUGAUUUUCUGCCUGUUUAUUAAAAACAUGUCUUUUUGUAAUUAUUUAAAGUCGGGCCUGCCCUAUGAUUAUUUAAAUGGCCGCGGUAUUUUGACCGUGCAAAGGUAGCAUAAUAAUUAGUUUCUUAAUUAGAAGCUGGAAUGAAUGGUUUGACAAGAAAAUUUCUGUCUCAAUUUAAUUAUUAGAAUUUAACUUUUGAGUUAAAAGGCUUAAAUGUUUUUAAAAGACGAGAAGACCCUAUAGAAUUUUACAUUUAAUUUGUUUAAGAUUUUUUGGAUUAUUUAUUUUUAGGUAAAUUGUUUGUUUUGUUGGGGUGAUGGAAAAAUUUAAAUAACUUUUUCUUAUUUUAUUCAUUGAUUUAUGA